rnacentral:rRNA from 1 species
AGGAUAAGAAGAUAUACUAAUUGUACCUUUUGUAUCAGGGAAAUUUAAAAAUAAAAUAAGUUUAUUGCCGAAUUAACCAGAUCUUCUAUGGGUUUAGUUAUUAAUUGCAUCUAAUGGACAAAGUCGGUUAUGAGGUAAAAAGUCUACGGUGGUUAAUAUAUCUAUUUGUUUUUGUUAUAAAGGGACAAGCUUUUAAUAAUCUAAAAAAUAACAUGGUCAAAAAAAACUAGGCUUUAAAGUAGUCAAGUUAUCAUAUUGUUUAAAAUGAUUUUUUUAUAUGAGGGAGGUUAGAUUUAAAAAAACUAUAUCAAUAAUUAUUAAUUUAUAAAAAUAAUGAAUUUAUUGAAUAGUGAGUGAAAUCUUAAAAGAACUUAGGAUAUUUUAGAGAGUUUAACAAAAACAUUUUUAUGUGAAAGUAACAAAGUAAUACCUGCCCAAUGAUAAUUAAAUGGCUGCGGUAUUUUGACUGUGCUAAGGUAGCAUAAUCAAUUGUUUCUUAAUUGGUAACUGGAAUGAAAGGUUUAACUAUUAUAUCUAGUUUGUUAAGUUAAAUAGGAUAUUAAAGUCAAGGUAAUAAUUCUUUGAUGUUCUAGGGGACGAUAAGACCCUAGAAGCUUGAUAAAUUGAGUGUGCAUUGGUUGUAGUAUUAAAUUUGUUUAACUGGGGCGGUGGCAGUAAAUAAACUACUGUAAAUUCAAUAGAUCCUUAUAAUAGAGACAUUAUGUUAAAGUUACUCUAGGGUUAACAGUGUAAUGUACUUGGAGAGAUCUUAUUGAUAAGUACGGUUACAACCUCGAUGUUGAAUUAAGAAUUCUUAAUGGUGCAGUGAUCAUAGAAGAAGGUUUGUUCAACC